AAUAGCCCAACUUGAAAAUCUCCCUUUGGAGAAUUGUAGUCUAGAGAAGCGCCCUCUGCGGCGGCCGGAGCCUAAGUCCGUUGGAAAACGGCGUCAGAGAGGGUGAGAACCCCGUCGGCUCUAGGCUUAGCUGCUCCACGAGGUGCUUUCCACGAGUCGGGUUGUUUGGGAAUGCAGCCCAAAAUGGGAGGUACAUCCCUUCUAAGGCUAAAUACUGGCGAGAGACCGAUAGCGAACAAGUACCGUGAGGGAAAGAUGAAAAGAACUUUGAAAAGAGAGUUAAAAAGUGCUUGAAAUUGUUGAGAGGGAAGCGUUUGGAGGUUAUAGGUGCGCCUAGGCUUAUACGAUUC
rnacentral:rRNA from 1 species